AAUCAGUUCUUAAACUCAUUUGAUGUUUUAGAUUUUGAUAAAGACUUCACAAUGCCGCUUUAAAAAAUAAAUCGAAUACUGAGUGAGACACCCAAUAUUAGUUCUGUGAAUUCACGAUGUUUUAUUAGUUUAUUUCUGUCAUUGGUGAUCUCCUACUAUAUUUGUUACGGUAUUAGAUAUUUAGUUGAAUUUUAAAAAUUUAGUCACUUCAUUAUUAUUGUUUGCUUAUAUAUAUAUAUAUUUGGUGCAAAUGAUUUAAUAUUUUAUUA
rnacentral:sRNA from 1 species